rnacentral:sRNA from 1 species
CUUGGUCAUUUAGAGGAAGUAAAAGUCGUAACAAGGUUUCCGUAGGUGAACCUGCGGAAGGAUCAUUAUCGAAUAAACUAGGUGGGUUGUUGCUGUCCCUCUCGGGGGAAUUGUGCACGCCCUACCUUUUUUGUUUUUCCACCUGUGCACACACUGUAGGUCUGGAGGGGAAGGGAGGCAACUCCCUGACGUUUCAGGUUCUAUGUCUUUACACAUACACUAUUAAAAGUAACAGAACGAUUCAAUGGGCUCUAAGCCUAUAAACUAUAUACAACUUUCAGCAACGGAUCUCUUGGCUCUCGCAUCGAUGAAGAACGCAGCGAAAUGCGAUAAGUAGUGUGAAUUGCAGAAUUCAGUGAAUCAUCGAAUCUUUGAACGCACCUUGCGCUCGUUGGUAUUCCGACGAGCAUGCCUGUUUGAGUGUCAUUAAAUUCUCAACCUCAUCGCUUUUGUGAUGAUGGCUUGGAAGUGGAGGUUUUUUGCAGGCUGAAAAGUCUGCUCCUCUCAAAUGAAUUAGUGGGUGCCCCGCGCAAACCUAUCUAUUGGUGUGAUAAUUAUCUACGCCGUGGAUCCUUAGGAUUGCUGUAAAAAGGUGUUUGCCCUGCUUCUAACUGUCUUCGGACAACUUGAACCAUUUGACCUCAAAUCAGGUAGGACUACCCGCUGAACUUAAGCAUAUCAAUAAGCGGAGGAAAAGAAACUAACAAGGAUUCCCCUAGUAACUGCGAGUGAAGCGGGAAAAGCUCAAAUUUAAAAUCUGGCAGUCUUUGAUUGUCCGAGUUGUAAUCUAGAGAAGCAUUAUCCGCGCUGGACCGUGUACAAGUCUCCUGGAAUGGAGCGUCAUAGAGGGUGAGAAUCCCGUCUUUGACACGGACUGCCAGGGCUUUGUGAUGUGCUCUCAAAGAGUCGAGUUGUUUGGGAAU